CGCAUUAAACGGAGGAGCAGGCGCGCAAUUACCCAAUCCUGACUCAGGGAGGUAGUGACAAGAAAUAACAAUAAACCGGCUUAUGCCGGUUUAAUUGGAAUGAGUACAAUUUAAACAUCUUAACGAGGAACAAUUGGAGGGCAAGUCUGGUGCCAGCAGCCGCGGUAAUUCCAGCUCCAAUAGCGUAUACUAAAGUUGUUGCAGUUAAAAAGCUCGUAGUUGGAUUUCUGUGGGGACGGAGCGGCCGGCCGCACAUCGCGGUUCGAGCUAGCGCUUUCCCUACAUCCUGCCGCGAACCGUGCUACCAUUAGUUUGGUGGCGCCGGGGAUCGGCUCGAUUACUUUGAGAAAAAUAGAGUGUUCAAAGCAGGCCACAUGCCUUGAAUAAGUUAGCAUGGAAUAAUAACUAAGGACUUCGGUUCUAUUUUGUUGGUGUUCGGGACUGAAGUAAUGAUUGAUAGGGACAGUUGGGGCGGUCUGUAUUCCAAAGCGAGAGGUGAAAUUCUUAGACCUUCGGAAGACAAACAGCUGCGAAAGCGUUCCGCAAGGAUGUUCCCUUUGAUCAAGAACGAAAGUUGGGGGAUCGAAGACGAUCAGAUACCGUCGUAGUCUCAACUAUAAACUAUACCAGCUAGGGAUCGGCCAACGUUAUUUUAUACCGACUUGGUCGGCACCUUAUGAGAAAUCAAAGCAUCUGGGUUCCGGGGGGAGUAUGGUCGCAAGGCUGAAACUUAAAGGAAUUGACGGAAGGGCACCACCAGCCGUGGAGCCUGUGGCUUAAUUUGACUCAACACGGGAAAACUUACCAGGUCCAGACAUAGUAAGGAUUGACAGAUUGAUAGCUCUUUCUUGAUUCUGUGGGUGGUGGUGCAUGGCCGUUCUUAGUUGGUGGAGUGAUUUGUCUGGUUAAUUCCGUUAACGAACGAGACCCCAGCCUGCUAAAUAGCGCGCGUGAGCUUUGCUCGCGGCGAGCUUCUUAGAGGGACUAUGAUGCGCGAUAGCACAUGGAAGUUUGGGGCAAUAACAGGUCUGUGAUGCCCUUAGAUGUUCUGGGCCGCACACGGGCUACACUGGCGCCUGCAACGAGCAUAUCAGCUGGCCCGAGAGGGUCUUGGCUAAUCUUUUGAACCGGCGCCGUGCUUGGGAUUGACCUUUGCAAUUGUUGGUCAUGCAACGAGGAAUGCCUUGUAAACGCGAGUCAUCAGCUCGCAUUGAAUACGUCCCUGCCCUUUGUACACACCGCCCGUCGCUCCUACCGAUGAAUGUUCCGAUGAAAUUUUCGGAGAGCACCUGUGAACUUGGCUCUGCCUUGCGAACGGGAGGCUCAAAGUCACAUAAAUCUGAACCUUAGG
rnacentral:rRNA from 1 species